rfam:Postia placenta Mad-698-R POSPLscaffold_3_Cont292, whole genome shotgun sequence.
ACACUGAUGGUGAAACGGUAUCAUGCUUGCCUUCCAAUCUUUGAUUCAGCAAGCGGCGCGGGUUCGACUCCCGCUCAGUGUA